rnacentral:rRNA from 1 species
CAUGCAGUCGAGCGGACUUAAAAGAAGCUUGCUUCUUUUAAGUUAGCGGCGGACGGGUGAGUAACACGUGGGCAACCUGCCCUAUAGUUGGGGAUAACUCCGGGAAACCGGGGCUAAUACCGAAUGAUACAAUUUAACUCCUGUUAGAUUGUUGAAAGAUGGUUCUGCUAUCGCUAUAGGAUGGGCCCGCGGCGCAUUAGCUAGUAGGUGAGGUAACGGCUCACCUAGGCGACGAUGCGUAGCCGACCUGAGAGGGUGAUCGGCCACACUGGGACUGAGACACGGCCCAGACUCCUACGGGAGGCAGCAGUAGGGAAUCUUCCACAAUGGGCGAAAGCCUGAUGGAGCAACGCCGCGUGAGUGAAGAAGGUUUUCGGAUCGUAAAACUCUGUUGUAAGGGAAGAACAAGUACAGUAGUAACUGGCUGUACCUUGACGGUACCUUAUUAGAAAGCCACGGCUAACUACGUGCCAGCAGCCGCGGUAAUACGUAGGUGGCAAGCGUUGUCCGGAAUUAUUGGGCGUAAAGCGCGCGCAGGCGGUCCUUUAAGUCUGAUGUGAAAGCCCUCGGCUCAACCGAGGAGGGUCAUUGGAAACUGGAGGACUUGAGUGCAGAAGAGGAAAGUGGAAUUCCAAGUGUAGCGGUGAAAUGCGUAGAGAUUUGGAGGAAC